rnacentral:rRNA from 1 species
ACUCCCACGGGAGGCAGCAGUAGGGAAUCUUCCACAAUGGGCGCAAGCCUGAUGGAGCAACACCGCGUGAGUGAAGAAGGGUUUCGGCUCGUAAAGCUCUGUUGUUAAAGAAGAACACGUAUGAGAGUAACUGUUCAUACGUUGACGGUAUUUAACCAGAAAGUCACGGCUAACUACGUGCCAGCAGCCGCGGUAAUACGUAGGUGGCAAGCGUUAUCCGGAUUUAUUGGGCGUAAAGAGAGUGCAGGCGGUUUUCUAAGUCUGAUGUGAAAGCCUUCGGCUUAACCGGAGAAGUGCAUCGGAAACUGGAUAACUUGAGUGCAGAAGAGGGUAGUGGAACUCCAUGUGUAGCGGUGGAAUGCGUAGAUAUAUGGAAGAACACCAGUGGCGAAGGCGGCUACCUGGUCUGCAACUGACGCUGAGACUCGAAAGCAUGGGUAGCGAACAGGAUUAGAUACCCUGGUAGCGUCGUC